rnacentral:rRNA from 1 species
AGCUCCAAUAGCGUAUAUUAAAGUUGUUGUGGUUAAAAAGCUCGUAGUUGAACCUUGGGCCUGGCUGGCCGGUCCGCCUCACCGCGUGUACUGGUCCGGCCGGGCCUUUCCCUCUGUGGAACCUCAUGCCCUUCACUGGGUGUGGCGGGGAAACAGGACUUUUACUUUGAAAAAAUUAGAGUGCUCCAGGCAGGCCUAUGCUCGAAUACAUUAGCAUGGAAUAAUGAAAUAGGACGUGUGGUUCUAUUUUGUUGGUUUCUAGGACCGCCGUAAUGAUUAAUAGGGACAGUCGGGGGCAUCAGUAUUCAAUUGUCAGAGGUGAAAUUCUUGGAUUUAUUGAAGACUAACUACUGCGAAAGCAUUUGCCAAGGAUGUUUUCAUUA